AUGUAUCGUCUUCGCAAUAGAGUCGGUCUUCGUGGUUUUGAAGGAGUUAGUAGUGAUGGUAAUAGUGGUGGUCUAGCCUUGUUUUGGGAUGAGUCUUUGUACGUCGAUAUUCGUGAUUGCAAUAGAAGAUGGAUUGAUGCGUAUGUCCGGUUACCUGCUGAUGAUCAACUAUGGAGAAUCACCUUUGUGUAUGGGGAACCACAGGUGGAAAAUAGACACCUAAUAUGGGAAGGGCUAAAAAGAUUGAAAGCUCAGGAUGAUCUACCUUGGCUCUUGGCUGUGGACUUCAAUGAAGUUAUGUGGGACUAUGAGCAUUUGUCGGAUACACCAAGGUCACCUGGGCAAAUGAUAGCUUUCCGGGACGUGCUUGAGGCCUGCAAUCUUUCAGAUCUUGGGUUCUCUGGUUACCCGUUUACUUAUGAUAAUAAGCGCAGCGGGCGGGCUAACGUGCAAGUAAGGUUGGAUCGUGCAGUGGCGGACAAUGUUUGGAGGAAUAAAUUUCCUGAGGCAUCAGUGAAGCACCUGAUCUCCUCAUGUUCGGAUCACCUCCCUCUCCUUGUGAGGUGCAUACCUGAAAAUGGUGGCAGGGUGAGGUGUGUUCGGCGUUACGAAGUAAUGUGGGAGCGAGAGGCUGCUCUUGAGGAAGUGGUGGCUGAAGCUUGGCGUGAUGGGGGUGCCAAACAUGGGCUGCAUGACAUAAAAGUUUCUCUAGACAAGAUGAUGGAAAAGCUCCACUCUUGGAGUAGGAAGACUUUUGGGAACGUGAUCAAGGAGAUUGAAAAGUCGAGGUGCAGAUUAGAGGAGCUCAUGAACAUGAAUGCAGAUCGUAAAGAAAUUCGGAAAGAGUCGGAUCACUUGGACGAAUUGUUGUACAGAGAAGAGAUGCUAUGGCGCCAACGAUCCCGUAUUGAUUGGCUCAAGGAAGGGGAUCGUAACACAUAG
rnacentral:rRNA from 1 species